rnacentral:rRNA from 1 species
CAGCAGUGGGGAAUCUUCCGCAAUGGACCGAAAGUCUGACGGAGCAACGCCGCGUGAGUGAUGACGGCCUUCGGGUUGUAAAGCUCUGUUAAUCGGGACGAAAGGCCUUCUUGCGAAUAGUUAGAAGGAUUGACGGUACCGGAAUAGAAAGCCACGGCUAACUACGUGCCAGCAGCCGCGGUAAUACGUAGGUGGCAAGCGUUGUCCGGAAUUAUUGGGCGUAAAACGCGCGCAGGCGGAUUGGUCAGUCUGUCUUAAAAGUUCGGGGCUUAACCCCGUGAUGGGAUGGAAACUGCCAAUCUAGAGUAUCGGAGAGGAAAGUGGAAUUCCUAGUGUAGCGGUGAAAUUGCGUAGAUAUUAAGGAAGAACACCAGUGGCGAAGGCGACUUUCUGGACGAAGACUGACGCUGAGGCGCGAAAGCCAGGGGAGCGAACGGGAUUAGAUACCCCGGUAGUCCUGGCAGUAAACGAUGGGUACUAGGUGUAGGAGGUAUC